rnacentral:tRNA from 1 species
UCCGUGAUAGUUUAAUGGUCAGAAUGCCAGACUGAAGAUCUGGAGAUCGGGGUUCAAUUCCCCGUCGCGGAGCC